UGAGGUUGAACAUUUGAGAGUAUAUCAGUGUGUGUGUUUGUGGUCUUUCUGUUUCUAGGUGGAAGCUGAAUUAGUGAGGAUGACUCCUGCUCCUGUCAUCUCUAAGCUCCUCACACAUCUUUACCUGCACAUGAGGAAAAUCACUCCUGUAGAAUGCAGAUGUUCAGAGGGAGAUGAUGCCACAUCUGGUCCAGCAGAUGGAAGGUCUUGAAGUUCUCUGACUGGCCUCGACUGAAGAUGGUCGUCUCACUGGAUUUAAGGUUCAGAUGCUCAGUAACAAACUCCACCAAUGUGCCAACAAGGAAGCUUUAGGUUUAUUAAAUGUUGCUAUGAAGGUUUCGCUGUUUUUCUUUGUGAAUGCAAUGUGCUCCAACUGAAACUGGAAUUAGAACUUAGAAGUAAAUCUUUCCAUCUGAAAGGAUUUAGUUGCAUUAAUAACCUCAUAACAUUCUAAUUUUUAUUCCAGUCUUGGUUGAAAAUAGAAUCUCUGUAUUGAUUCAGGUAAAAACUGAACUUCACAGCAUGUUGAAGCAAAACAACCAGAUGAAAACUGUGAUGGUGUUGGAUUGUCAGACCGUAAUGUUGCAGCUCAAAGCAGCUUUUCUAUCUCAGUUCAUUCUGACAUUCAGCUAUGAAUCAACACAGCAGAUGGUGAUCCAUGCUGUGGAAGUCUCACAUCUCCUGAUUUAAUGGAGCUGCUUUGCACUUUUUACACUGUUUAUUCACCAACACUUUAUUUAAUAAAAGUCCCAUCUAGUUUUUAUGAGGAAUGUGAUGUUUUAAUCUCUCUGUGAAUAACUGCAGUCUAAUGGAACAGCUGGAGUUGUAACAUCUGUCCUGAUAUUGAUCAUGAAAUAUUGAUCAGAAUACUUAUGGUCAGCAGUCAUCCCUGAAGUUUUACAUUAAAAUCUUUACUUGUGUUGUGAACUUAGGUAAGAAGCAGAAACGUUAGCGUUGCCAUGGAUACAUGAGUGUUAAAUUCUGUCUAUGUUUCCAUUUUGGGAAAUGCAGUCCAGUUCCAGAAUGUGGAGGAAUUUAGUCUCACAAUCACAGACAACAAAUAUUAUCUGAAAGUCGGGUUAUUGUUGUUUAUCAGCACAAUACAAAAAGAUUAAUGUUAGAAAUAUUCCAGUUAAGACUCUAGAAUAUCAUGAUUUAUGUAAAUUUACCUCAAUAAUAUGAAUGUUCAGGUUAAGAUUGUACAGUGAUAUUUAUUAUGUAAGUUUAGCUGAUUAAAGUUUAUGACUCUGCACUAAAAUAUUAUUUAAAUUGACAUCAUUAUUAUAAUAUUUAGGGUCAGACCCUACAGUAUUGAGAUUAAGAAAUUAAAUAUUCUAUAAAAUGUAAAUACACUGAACUCAUUUGGAUAUAUUUAAGUGAGACUCUACAAUAUUAUUUGACACAAAUCUAUCUAAAUCAAAAUUUUAAUAAUUUUCACGCCAAACAUUUACUGGACUGAUUUAAACAUUAAAAUCACUCCUUUCUAAUCCUCUGCUGUACGUUCAAACCUGAGGCCUUAAAUAGAAACACACAAGUAUCUGUUUGAAGAAACUUCUGCAGAGUCCUGGUUCCAGAACAUGAUGAUAGAAUUAUAGACAAACUUUAACAAAAGCUGCCUGAGAGUUUACAGGUUUUUAUGUUAGAUUUCUUCAGUAAUUUAAUGAGAGUUGUCAGCAAAAAUCAAGUGUUCAUUUGAUGAACUUCAUUUCCUAAAACAUCCAGAAUUGGAGCUCAUAUCUUUGGCAGCUGUAAAGUUUCUGCUCCUUCAAAGUUCACAACACAAUGAAUGAAUUCCUAAAACACUCUCAAUGCUGGAGAGUGUUUGUGAUGCUGAAGCAGUGAUCAGUUUUUCUGUUUCUUCUCUGGAGAUGCACAAUGAGGGACGUCUGCAGAGACUGAGAAAGAGUCACACCACAUCCUGACAUGAGGAAAAAGACUUUAUUGAAGACUACAAUGAGAAAAACUAUCAGACAGCAGACGGCUGCAUUCAAGUCUGUAGCUGCUGAAUUCAUGGAUGAAUCAUCUGGCACUAGAGAGGGAGACCAUCAAACAUCUAUGUCAGCUGAUGGAGGUCCAAGAGUCUCACCAAACAACCAACCUACAGAGUGAAGACCUCAAAUCUGAUUGAACGGCCUCCUAUUCAGCCACAUGUGUGAACAAAUGCCUCUAAGCUGAUUUGUUUUCUAAAAUAAAUCUAGUUUGAGUCCUAAUCUAUGCCUGUGUUUGCUUCUUUACACCACUGUUAACAGUUUAGGCUGUUAGAUUGUUCCAGAUAAGACAAGUACAAGAUUCUUCAGAGCCGUUCUACCACCACGAGCCUGACAGGAAGAACUCCAACAGCUACUGAAUAUUCCUGUGGUCCCCUCAAGGCUACAGGAGGAGUCCUGCGAGGACGAGCCGGUCCACCUGAUGGCGGCCAGUCGCUGCGGUUCAAAGCCAACACCGACUACGUGGAUUUCUACUGGACCACACAGAGGCCUUCAGACCAGACCAACAAGUUCAGCGACUCCCCGACUCGUGGGUCUGAGGAUGCCGCCGAGCCUCGGUCCAGCCGGCCGCCUGUCUGUGGGUGUUUGAGUGCUGAGAGGUUUGUGGAUGUAAGUGAACGUAUCUGUGUUGAAACAGCAGCUUUUGACUCACUAACGCCGGGAAAAACCCAGAGCUCCUUUAUUUGUGACUUCCACUGAAAAAACUGAUGAAAAUAAGUUUGCCAGGGUUCUGACUGAUAACAGAUUAUUAAAUAAUGAAAAUAAUUGUUUAAAUAUUCCUUUAAACAAUCCUUUUACAUCUACAUUUCCUUUACACUGACUUCUUGGUGUAUGUACAAGUAUUUUAGGUGGAAUAUACCAUUAAGCCUAAUGUUCAAGGGUUUUUCUGGGAAUAUACCAUGAAACCAACCUUUUAGGUAACUGUUCCAGGAUGUUGGGUAGAAAAUACCAUCAGAUAAACCUUUUAGGUCUACAUUGGAAGAUUUUAGAGUAGAAUAUUACUCCAAACCAUCCUUUAGGUCUAUAUUUAAGGUGGAAUACUCCUUUACACCAAGAUUUUUUGGUCUAGGAUUUUGGAUGGAAUACUUGGUGAAACCAACAUUUUAGGUGCAUGUCCAAGGAUUUUUGGUGGAAUGUUCCUUUAAGGUGGAUGUUUGAGGACCUCGUAGGUGGAAUACUUCCUGAAACCAACCUUUUAGGUCAAUAUUCAAAGAUUUAAGGUGAAAUAUUCCUUUAAAUCAACCUAAAUUUCAUGUUUUGAUCAUUAUCAAUUGAGAAACCUCAAUCCAGACUCCUCAUAAUGACAUUUGAGAUUUAUGCUGCUGUUAUUUGUUUAGUCCAGACUAAAUGACAGAAAUCCACAACUGUAAUUUUAUUUCAGGACUCGGUUAUUAAAUGUCAAAAAAAUCCAUGUGACUCUAAAAACUCAACAGCUGUACAAACUCUAAGAUUAAACUCUCCACAAGGAUCCAAAAUAAGUUGGACUUCUACAUGAGAGCUUUAAUUAUUCUUCAUCUACUUCCUGAAAAGUUUGGUCAAUAAAAAAAGACAAAAACUAGUAUUUUCAGCUGAACUAAAGACAGACUUUGUGAUUUUUCUGCUCACAUGUUUUGUUGUUGUAAACUUACUCUUUCAAAUAAAUAGCCGCCUAACCCCCUGGAAACCAGCGUUUGUCCUGUUUUUGUGUUGCUCCUCAGCGACCCUAGACAGCCGGGUUGUAAUGUUUUUUGAGCAACACACCAUACUAUGAUGUUUUUACAAUGAUGGUUCUACUAUGAAGCCAGUUUGACAUGUUCAGGUGUUCUUUGUGUGAAAACUCAGAGAUUUCAGGUAUGAGCAGGUGGUUUUCAACUUUGUUAACUUUCUGCCUCAAAUUUAAACUAAAUUUCCUUCACUAACCCAACCCUCUGGACUUCUAGUAAGCUGUGUUCCUAUUGGCUGUCCAGGUGGCUGCUUGUUGUUAUCAGGAACACCUGAGCAGCUCAGUGUCUUCCUGCUUUAUUUAGCUGCAGACAAACAUUUCCUCUGCUUCUCUUCACCACGGAACCGGGUUUGGCUCCAUUGCUUUAGUUUGUUCUUUAGGCGUUGGCUUGCAGCUUCCAGCAGUAAAAUCAUCUUUAAUGUGGUUCUUGGUGUGUUUUAGGGCUUUGUACUGGAUAGUUGUCUUGGUAAAUGUGGUUCUUUAGCCACAGUUAGCACAUGGUGCUAAUGUGUGCAGUGAUUAGUGGAUUUGGUGCAGCUGAGUUGUGUCUUUAUCUUGGCUGUAGUGAGUCUUUAGAGGUUUUUGGUCAGACACAUUCUGUAUUCUUGUUUGUGAAGCAACGUUGGUUGUCCAGAAGGUAAGAGUUCCUGUCCUGAUUCUCUGUUCUCAGAGGUUCUCUGGUAGGCUGCAGGAGACUUUAGCGUUUGGGUUGUGCUAGUUUGGUUUUUGUACGGUUUCAUUUGGACGACUAUCUUGAGGCCCCUCCAUGUGGUUUAGUGAGGUUUUCUACAACAGUUCUACAAAGCAACCUGCAGCAGAAGAGACUUUGAGAGUUUUUAGGAAGUUCUGGAGACCAGACUUUAGAGCAGCAGAAACAUUUGUCAGCAGUUUGAGCAGGAGAAGGUGAGCUUCAGAGUAGAAAUGAGACGGAAACCUUCUUGACCCGUGUGGUGAGGUCCUGUACCAAGAGUUUGAGCAGGUUGUGAAGAGUCUGUAGUUCUUUGGUCUGAAAGCACAAGAAGAGUCGACUCAUUAAAGGAGAAAACAGGAGAUAUUGUUGGUUCUUCUGUUGCUCUGCAGUUUCCUUAGACUGAAUAUCAAGUUUAUAUUUUAAAUGAUUCCCCAUGUGAGCCCAAGAAGACUUCAAUAAACUCCAUCCAUCCAUCCCCUGGACACAACAGAUUUUAUUACUAUGUUAAAUCUUUUUUUUUUUUUUUUUAAUAUGUUUUUGAGUUUUAAUCAUAGUUUUAGCAUAGUUUUUCUCUUUGCUUGUUUA